UACGUAGGGGGCAAGCGUUAAUCGGAAUUACUGGGCGUAAAGCGUGCGCAGGCGGUGAUGUAAGACAGGGGUGAAAUCCCCGGGCUUAACCUGGGAACUGCAUUUGUGACUGCAUCGCUGGAGUGCGGCAGAGGGGGAUGGAAUUCCGCGUGUAGCAGUGAAAUGCGUAGAUAUGCGGAGGAACACCGAUGGCGAAGGCAAUCCCCUGGGCCUGCACUGACGCUCAUGCACGAAAGCGUGGGGAGCAAACAGG
rnacentral:rRNA from 1 species